UUGCCCCUUAGCUUAGUUGGUCAGAACAGACGGCUCAUAACCGUCCGAUCGUAAGUUCAAUUCCUACAGGGUACA
rnacentral:tRNA from 1 species